UACGAGUUGUGCAAACGUUAUUCGGAAUCACUGGGCUUAAAGGGUGCGUAGGCGGCUACGAAAGUCAGGUGUGAAAUCCCUCGGCUCAACCGAGGAACUGCGCUUGAAACUGUGUAGCUAGAGGGAGACAGAGGUGAGCGGAACUGAUGGUGGAGCGGUGAAAUGCGUUGAUAUCAUCAGGAACACCGGUGGCGAAAGCGGCUCACUGGGUCUUUUCUGACGCUGAGGCACGAAAGCCAGGGGAGCAAAC
rnacentral:rRNA from 1 species